rnacentral:tRNA from 3 species
GGAGAGAUGCCAGAGUGGCCGAAUGGGACGAUUCGAAAUCCGUUGUACCUUCACCGGUACCUAGGGUUCGAAUCCCUAUCUCUCCGCCA